rnacentral:lncRNA from 1 species
CUUGGGCUCAUAUGAGUUUCUCCUAUUUUUCUGGAACAGACGAAAGCUGAAGAGGAGACUAUCUGAGUAGCUAUACAUAGAGUUUCAUUCCUGGGUGCCAAGGGAGAGUUUUGCUGAGUCUUCAACAUCCCAUAUCAUUUGCCAGGAGGAGAAUUUCGCUGAUGACAUAGGGAAGCCAUAUGGGAUAACAAAUUUAAAAGGAAAAUACUUACAAAGGAAAACAUCCUACUGCAUAUUGGAUUAAUAUGCUGUCAAGAAUGGCACAUGUCAUUGCAAAGAAAUACAGAAAAUAGAAGCAAAGUUAAAAAAAAAAAAAAGAACAGCCUGUGUUAUUUUCCUUUUGGAGAUUUUCCUGCAGACUCUUCAGUCAUGGAGAGCUGA